rnacentral:piRNA from 1 species
UAGUGUAUUUCAUUUGUGUAUAGAAGUAUC